UACGAGGGGGGCGUGCGUUAUUCACACGAACUUGGCGUAAAGCGUCUUUAGGUGGUUUUUUGCGUGUUAACAACUAAAAAUCAGAACGUAAUUCUGAAAUGUUUGUUAAGACUAUUUUUCUAGAGUUUUUGUAGGGUUAGUAGUAUUUUUUCAAGAGGGUUAAAAUCCUUAGAAAGAAAAGAGAGUUCCAAGGGUGAAGACAACUAACUGGCUUAAACUGACACCAAAGGACGUAAAGCAAUAGGGAGCGAUCGGG
rnacentral:rRNA from 1 species